rnacentral:lncRNA from 1 species
GAGUUUCCUAAAUUGUACAAAAUACCACAUUAUUGAUUAUUAAGUUUCAAUUUCAUAACAGAGAAUACGGUAAGAGAUACUUAUCCAAAUCGAUGUCUAAAAUACCGAACUUUCUAUUGCACUUACUGACGAUUCUCAGGUUUUCUGAAUUUUUCGGUGGUGGGAUUUUUCAGGGCGGCAGCUCCGUCGGCUCACUUUCACAGUUGGAUGUUUUUAUUCAGUCAACCUUUUUUGGCGAUCAGAGGUGGAUCCGAUGCAGCGGUGGGCAGUGUUCAGCUCUCUUCUCCGACGAUUGGUUCUUCUUCUUUGGCGAGGGGCUAGCGGCUCGGGGUCGGGUUCUAUGUGAUGUAAAAUAUUUAUACCCAUCUUGCGUUAAUCUGGGUCGUUCAUUGUUUUAAUCUCAAUCGUUCGAUCACGCCUAAGGAGGAAACGAAUAUGAGCUGUUCAUCGUAUUUGAUCUCGACUGUCCGAUUACGUCUAAGAAGGAAACGAAUCUGGACUGUUCAUCGUGUUUGAUUGCGACAGUCCGAUCGCGCCUGAAGAGGGAAUGGAUCCGGGCCAUCCACGCGUGCGGGGACGCUUCUGGGUCGUCCGAUCACGAGGCAUGCAGAUCACUAGCGUGGCCUCCCGCGUGACACCGAGUCAACAUGCUU